UACAGAGGGGGCAAGCGUUGUUCGGAAUUACUGGGCGUAAAGGGCGCGUAGGCGGCCUGUUAAGUCGAACGUGAAAUCCCCGGGCUCAACCUGGGAACUGCGUCCGAUACUGGCAGGCUUGAAUCCGGGAGAGGGAUGCGGAAUUCCAGGUGUAGCGGUGAAAUGCGUAGAUAUCUGGAGGAACACCGGUGGCGAAGGCGGCAUCCUGGACCGGCAUUGACGCUGAGGCGCGAAAGCCAGGGGAGCAAACGGG
rnacentral:rRNA from 1 species